AUUAUACCAAAAUCCAAUAAGAUUUGGAGACAGCGUUGGUUCCCAGCCUCAGCAUGUUGUUAUUCCAAAUGACCUUUCCUCCCUUCCCAUUCACCCCCUUCAGACUUGGAGGGUGGCUUUCAUAACGCCAGCUGAGCUCAGGGUGGAGUGGGCUCUCACUUGGGGCUGUGUAACCACAGCGUCUACUCUCCAGCCUGGGUUAUUGCUAGUUACCAUUUAAUGCUGGUCAACAGAAGACAGAUGGUCGGUUGUAAAGCUGGAAAGCAGUUUCCAAAUUAAAAAUACACAAUAUUUAAAGUACUUACCAUCAAGACUGAUGCCUUUGAAAGAUAUGCUAUGCUUAUCCCCGUGGCCCACACGCUGCUGGCAUCCCACAGCCUUUCCCUGUUUCAGAAACACGGACCUGGUGCUUACCUGUCUUUUCUCAAGUGAUAAAACCAAUGGCCAAGGCUUGUCUGUGAGCCCAGCUGUAAUGGAGGCCGUUCUGAUGUUCAUGUCCCUUGGUAUGGGAAGGUAAACUGCUCUGAGCGUCGUGGGCCAUCUUUUUCCUUGCUUGCUGUCUUCUUCAGCAAGGAGGGCUGCUGACAGCUGAGCAGGCUGCCUCAUUAGAAUUCACUGGGUAA
rnacentral:lncRNA from 12 species